AUUGAACGCUGGCGGCAUGCCUUACACAUGCAAGUCGAACGGUAACAGGUCUUCGGAUGCUGACGAGUGGUGAACGGGUGAGUAAUACAUCGGAACGUGCCUAGUAGUGGGGGAUAACCACUCGAAAGAGUGGCUAAUACCGCAUGAGAUCUACGGAUGAAAGCAGGGGAUCGCAAGACCUUGUGCUACUAGAGCGGCCGAUGGCAGAUUAGGUAGUUGGUGGGAUAAAAGCUUACCAAGCCGACGAUCUGUAGCUGGUCUGAGAGGACGAUCAGCCACACUGGGACUGAGACACGGCCCAGACUCCUACGGGAGGCAGCAGUGGGGAAUUUUGGACAAUGGGCGCAAGCCUGAUCCAGCAAUGCCGCGUGCAGGAUGAAGGCCUUCGGGUUGUAAACUGCUUUUGUACGGAACGAAAAGCCCUGGGUUAAUACCCUGGGGUCAUGACGGUACCGUAAGAAUAAGCACCGGCUAACUACGUGCCAGCAGCCGCAGUAA
rnacentral:rRNA from 1 species